UACGUAGGGGGCGAGCGUUGUCCGGAUUUAUUGGGCGUAAAGAGCGUGUAGGCGGUUCGGUAAGUCUGUCGUGAAAUCCUGAGGCUCAACCUCGGACGUGCGAUGGAUACUGCCGGGCUAGAGGAUGGUAGAGGCGAGUGGAAUUCCCGGUGUAGCGGUGAAAUGCGCAGAUAUCGGGAAGAACACCCGUGGCUAAGGCGGCUCUCUAGUACGGUACUGACGCUGAGACGCGAAAGCGUGGGGAGCGAACAGG
rnacentral:rRNA from 1 species